GCCGGUGUAGCUCAGUUGGUAGAGCAAUUCAUUCGUAAUGAAGAGGUCGGGGGUUCGACUCCUCUCUCCGGCACCA
rnacentral:tRNA from 6 species